UAGUCUAGUGUAUAGUCCAUGCACUAGUCAAUUCUAUAAUUCAGACUAUAAUCUAGAUUAUAUUCCAGACUAUAGUCUAGAAAUAUGUAUGUGAUCUGUUGAAAUCACACAAUUCACUAAAGAAAUGUUAAAAAGUUCAUCAAACUUACCGAUAACAAACAAACGUGAAUUCAUCAAAUGAAAACUGAUCAUAAAAGGUGUUGCCAAAACGCGUGUUUUACUACAAGUCAUUAGAAAAGCAAUAGAAAAAUCAAAUAUCGCUGUAAACCAAUGAACAAUCAACAAAUCUGCCAAAUCUUCCGUAAGAACCCAACGAAAAGGACUCAAUACCCAAUGGCGACUUAAAGAAGACAUUGCAUAACCGGAUAACCAUUCAGCGGUUUUUGUGAAUGUUCAAGAGUGAAGAGCUGAAUAAAAAUGUGGAUGGAUAAUCAAGGAAAAUCUAUUAAUUCCAAACUUUGAACUGAAAGUAAUUGUGAAAAGCUAAAUAAAGUCUUCAAAACUGCCGAAAAAGGAUUAGAAGCAUGAUCGAAGCUUCCUUUAAAAUGCCGAGUAAUACAAUUAUCUAAAUAUGUUCAAAAAAUGUAAAUAAAAUGUGUUUUUGUUUAUGGA